AUUCACUAUUCCCUUUGUCCAGUCUAAUCAUUUUUCACACAUACCAGUACAUAACUGCACUCCACAAUGCAUAGCCAUUUUCUAAAAAAUACAGAUGAAAAUGAAAGGCAACGGUCUCUGCACCUAAGCGAUGCCUGUUUUUCCUCAAAAAGAACUGCAUGGGGCAGCAAGAGAACCUCCUCCCCAGACCAAGCAAAAUGCAUGCCGCGCGCAUCCGCACUGCAGCGGCGGACGUCCGAAACCUAACUCCCAAGCGCCAGGGAACUGCACGCCCGUCGACCUCUCAUGUUCCAACCAAACUCUCACGCGCUAAGUAAAUGCAUGCUUAUCAUCCUCUCACGCCCCUGCAUACUGCGCCGACGACCCAACUGACCUGCAGCGAGAGCAAACUGCACUGCUCGCGCCUGGAGGCAGUGAACAGCAAGGUGUCAGCGUCCCCGUCGAACUGCACAAAACAAAAUCUGAAACACACCAAGAAUUCCAUUGCACAGUGAGCACCACCUCGAAUUCCAGCCAAACUACACGGGUGUAGCGACCGAACCGCAUCUCUUCCUGCUCGUCGAAACUGCACA
rnacentral:lncRNA from 1 species